AUUGAACGCUGGCGGCAUGCUUUACACAUGCAAGUCGAACGGUAACAGGCCUUCGGGUGCUGACGAGUGGUGAACGGGUGAGUAAUGCAUCGGAACGUACCCAGAGGUGGGGGAUAACGCAGCGAAAGCUGUGCUAAUACCGCAUGUGAUCUGAGGUUGAAAGCGGGGGGCCGCGCAGCAAUGUGUGGCCUCGCGCCUUUGGAGCGGCUGAUGUCGGAUUAGCUAGUUGGUGGGGUAAAGGCCUACCAAGGCGACGAUCCGUAGCUGGUCUGAGAGGACGACCAGCCACACUGGGACUGAGACACGGCCCAGACUCCUACGGGAGGCAGCAGUGGGGAAUUUUGGACAAUGGGCGCAAGCCUGAUCCAGCAAUGCCGCGUGCGGGAAGAAGGCCUUCGGGUUGUAAACCGCUUUUGGCAGGAACGAAACGGUGUCCGCUAAUACCGGGCGCUAAUGACGGUACCUGCAGAAUAAGCACCGGCUAACUACGUG
rnacentral:rRNA from 1 species